GUUUCUUUGCGUAAAAAGACAAAUGUCAUAUUCCGAAAGUUUACAAAAGCAAAAUUGAGGGAAACCAAAGAGAUUUUACGCGUAGCAUCUGCAUUAAUUGUAUCCGUGAGAAUUAAAAAGAAAUAAUAAGAGCCAUAUGUUAUGUAGAAGUUGCGUUGUCAUGUCCUCGUUUCCUGACCUUGGUGUUUGAGUUUUGAAGUAAAGAUCUGAAGCUCUGGCAGUCACAAUUAACGUAGUAUAUAGGGAAGGUUGUGACCGUCAGUUACGUCAAGCCGGUUUCCGUUGAUACUGGACUCCAUCAAGGCCGCAACAUUCCGCUGUAAACUUUAACAGAUAGAUAUUAUUUUUGCCGCAAAAGAGUAAUUACAGUAUAUCUUCUCAAAUAAGGGGUUUUGUUAUAUAUUUUUUUCAUUUGAGUACUAUGACCAUGGAGGUAUACCUCCAUGCUAUGACUGAAGUAAUGUGGUAGCGUACCUUGGGAUGGAUCAAAGUCGAGCUUCGUGACGCAACCGAAGUUCUCCACCAAUCCAAUCAAGGUAUAGAUAUGAACGAUAUACAUAGUCUGCAUUAUACGUAUGUACACCUGAGAAGAGUCUAGUUGCCCUAUUGGUGGUGAGGUGAACUAUAGUAGACACAAUUUGUAUGGAGUUUUAAGGAUUUUAAGCGCUUCGUUGAAGGAGAACUUUCUUCUAUUAGAUUAACUUUUGAAAGUGUGGAAAUUCAAUUUAGACCCUAUUUAAUUAUGCGGACGAAAAGCAGAAAGACCAGAUUGAAUUCUGAUCCAGUCUUAAAUUUACCGGAUAAUAUGUAUUUUGCAAGUCCACUAUAGUUUUCACCAGAUACCUGUAGUUAGAGUCUAUGUCACGAAUGUAUGAUGUAUGGGCUCCUAUUAAUUUUUAUUGUAAAAUAUGUCCCCUUGUAUUUUUUUUCAAAAUUAUCCUCUGAAAGCUUUGCGUUGGCCAAAAUUUGAUGGGUGAGGCUAGGUCAAGAGUGAGUCAAGGAAGUGUCAUUGCGGCUAUGUUUACGUGUCUAUGAAUUGUAAUCGUAUUGUAUGUAAACAUAUUUAACUUUGUAUUAUUCCUGUUAAGGGACAGGUAGGCUCUAUGCAGGACACAAAUAGGUACAGGUGAGGGGGUUUGAGCUGACUGCGGCAUUGCCCCGCGCUUUGCAGUACGCUGCUGGCCCUAUGAUUGGUGGCGUAUUGCGCAUUGCCUCGGCGCAGUGCAGUACGCUGCCGGCCUUUUGAUUGGUGGCGUAUUCGUGGUGCUGUGGCGCAGUGGCGCAUUGCAGUUCAUUCCCUGUCUCCUGGUUGGUUGGGUCCUGGAUAUAAAACUGCCUCUCCCUUAGCAGCGGGAGUUCCAUCUUAAGUUCGCUCUUGGAUAAUUAAAGUGUACGUAUAACAUCUUAA